ensembl:rRNA 5S_rRNA 5S ribosomal RNA
CCACAUCCACACCACCCUAAAUGCACUUGAUCUCCUCUGGUCUAAGUAAGGGUCUAAGUAGGGUCGGGCCUGGUUAGUACUGGGAAGGGACAUGGAGCAUCUAUAGACAGUACUCAAGAAGUUAUAUGGU